GCCCCAGUAACGGCGAGUGAAGCGGCAACAGCUCAAAUUUGAAAUCUGGCCCCUCGGGCCCGAGUUGUAAUUUGUAGAGGAUGCUUUUGGCAAGGUGCCGCCCGAGUUCCCUGGAACGGGACGCCGCAGAGGGUGAGAGCCCCGUCUGGCUGGCCACCGAGCCUCUGUAAAGCUCCUUCGACGAGUCGAGUAGUUUGGGAAUGCUGCUCAAAAUGGGAGGUAUAUGUCUUCUAAAGCUAAAUAUUGGCCAGAGACCGAUAGCGCACAAGUAGAGUGAUCGAAAGAUGAAAAGCACUUUGAAAAGAGGGUUAAACAGUACGUGAAAUUGUUGAAAGGGAAGCGCUCAUGACCAGACUUGGGCUUGGCGAAUCAUCCGGCGUUCUCGCCGGUGCACUUCGCCUCGCUCAGGCCAGCAUCAGUUCGCGCCGGGGGACAAAAGCUUCGGGAAUGUGGCUCCUCCGGGAGUGUUAUAGCCCGUUGCAUAAUACCCUGGUGCGGACUGAGGUUCGCGCAUCUGCAAGGAUGCUGGCGUAAUGGUCAUCAGCGACCCGUCUUGAAACACGGACCAAGGAGUCGUCUUCGUAUGCGAGUGUUCGGGUGUCAAACCCCUACGCGUAAUGAAAGUGAACGCAGGUGAGAGCUUCGGCGCAUCAUCGACCGAUCCUGAUGUUCUCGGAUGGAUUUGAGUAAGAGCAUACGGGGCCGGACCCGAAAGAAGGUGAACUAUGCCUGUAUAGGGUGAAGCCAGAGGAAACUCUGGUGGAGGCUCGCAGCGGUUCUGACGUGCAAAUCGAUCGUCAAAUAUGGGCAUGGGGGCGAAAGACUAAUCGA
rnacentral:rRNA from 1 species